rnacentral:rRNA from 1 species
CCUACGGGUGGCAGCAGUGGGGAAUAUUGCACAAUGGGGGAAACCCUGAUGCAGCGACGCCGCGUGAGCGAUGAAGUAUUUCGGUAUGUAAAGCUCUAUCAGCAGGGAAGAAAAUGACGGUACCUGACUAAGAAGCCCCGGCUAACUACGUGCCAGCAGCCGCGGUAAUACGUAGGGGGCAAGCGUUAUCCGGAUUUACUGGGUGUAAAGGGAGCGUAGACGGUCCUGCAAGCCAGAUGUGAAAGCCCGGGGCUCAACGUGGGAACUGCCUUUGAAACUGGCAAACUGGAGUGUGUGAGGGGAUAGUGGAAUUCCAGGUGUAGGAGUGAAAUCCGUAGAUAUCUGGAGGAACAUCAGUGGCGAAGGCGACUAUCUGGAACAUAACUGACGCUGAGGAGCGAAAGCGUGGGUAGCAAACAGGAUUAGAUACCCCGGUAGUC